GCCCGUCGCUGCUACACGGUAAAGCCACAAAUUUGGCCCGUCGCUGCUACACGGUAAAGGCACAAAUUUGGCCCGUCGCUGCUACACGGUAAAGCCACAAAUUUGGCCCGUCGCUGCUACACGGUAAAGCCACAAAUUUGGCCCGUCGCUGGUAUACGGUAAAGCCACAAAUUUGGCCCGUCGCUGGUAUACGGUAAAGCCACAAAUUUGGCCCAUCGCUGCUACACGGUAAAGCCACAAAUUUGGCCCGUCGCUGCUACACGGUGAAGCCACAAAUUUGGCCCGUCGCUGCUACACGGUAAAGCCACAAAUUUGGCCCGUCGCUGCUACACGGUGAAGCCACAAAUUUGGCCCGUCGCUGCUACACGGUAAAGCCACAAAUUUGGCCCGUCGCUGCUCACGGUAAAGCCACAAAUUUGGCCCGUCGCUGCUACACGGUAAAGCCACAAAUUUGGCCCGUCGCUGCUACACGGUAAAGCCACAAAUUUGGCCCGUCGCUGCUACACGGUAAAGCCACAAAUUUGGCCCGUCGCUGCUACACGGUAAAGCCACAAAUUUGGCCCGUCGCUGCUACACGGUAAAGCCACAAAUUUGGCCCAUCGCUGCUACACGGUAAAGCCACAAAUUUGGCCGUCGCUGCUACACGGUAAAGCCACAAAUUUGGCCCGUCGCUGCUACACGGUAAAGCCACAAAUUUGGCCCGUCGCUGCUACACGGUAAAGCCACAAAUUUGGCCCGUCGCUGCUACACGGUAAAGCCACAAAUUUGGCCCGUCGCUGCUACACGGUAAAGCCACAAAUUUGGCCCGUCGCUGCUACACGGUAAAGCCACAAAUUUGGCCUGUCGCUGCUACACGGUAAAGCCACAAAUUUGGCCCGUCGCUGCUACACGGUAAAGCCACAAAUUUGGCCCGUCGCUGCUACACGGUAAAGCCACAAAUUUGGCCCGUCGCUGCUACACGGUAAAGCCACAAAUUUGGCCCGUCGCUGCUACACGGUAAAGCCACAAAUUUGGCCCGUCGCUGCUACACGGUAAAGCCACAAAUUUGGCCCGUCGCUGCUACACGGUUAACUGUAAUAAGGAAGUAGAAAAUAAGGUCUUUAUCAAUCAAUUAUUUUUUUGUUAAGUGGGUUUUUUUUUUUUCCUAACCUGUUUUCAUGGCUGUAAAAAGAUUAAUCAAAAUGCAUCAGUGACCUUCCAUACAAAAGUUAUAUAUCCAAAAAACACAAAAAUGGCAGGAUGUUCUGUACAUAUAUCAUUUAUAUGAAACCAAUAAAUGAAAAUAACUUAU